AGAGUUUGAUCCUGGCUCAGGACGAACGCUGGCGGCGCGCCUAACACAUGCAAGUCGAGCGAGAACCAGGGCUUCGGUCCUGGGGACAGCGGCGAACGGGUGAGUAACACGUGGAUAACCUGCCCUCGGCACCGGAAUAGCCCGGGGAAACCCGGAUUAAUGCCGGAUGGCCCCACAUCCCUGCGGGGAACGUGGGAAAAGGUAGCUUCGGCCUCUGGCCGAGGAUGGGUCCGCGGUGGAUUAGCUUGUUGGCGGGGUAACGGCCCACCAAGGCGACGAUCCAUAGCUGGUCUGAGAGGACGAUCAGCCACACUGGGACUGAGACACGGCCCAGACUCCUACGGGAGGCAGCAGUGGGGAAUUGUUCGCAAUGGGCGCAAGCCUGACGACGCAACGCCGCGUGGAGGAUGAAGAUCUUCGGGUCGUAAACUCCUUUCGAUCGAGACGAAUUCCUCUGGGGUGAACAAUCCCGGAGGUUGACGGUACCGAGAGAAGAAGCCCCGGCUAACUCCGUGCCAGCCGCCGCGGUAAUAC
rnacentral:rRNA from 1 species